ensembl:snoRNA small nucleolar RNA, C/D box 100
GCUGUACAAUGAUGAUACUUUGGCUCCCUCUACUGAUACUUGUGAGGAAAGCAGCCAUCCGUUACCCAAUACUUCUGAGAGUACAGC